AAGUAGCUCAUUGCGCGCGGUGCGGCUUCCUGCAUACACCUUACUUUCCUUCACUUCCUUCUCUUACACACACACUCACACACACACACACACACACGCACCUCCUAAAAAUACAGACCGGCCCACUCACCACAUAUAUCUACACGAACUCAUAGCCCUCUCUCUGCUCUGCUCUACCACCGCUGUGGCUGUUCUUGCUUCCUGUUUGAUCGCCUCGCUCGCUCGCUCGCUCGCUCUAUCUGUUUCUUUUUCUGUAGUUGCUGUUACUGUCUUGAACCGCCAUUGUUCUCUGCUCAUUUCUCUCCUCUCACCGCGUUGCCUUUUCUUUGCUUGGCGCCACUGGCUUCUUUUUUGUUUCGUUUGUUUUCGGUGUUGUCUGGGGUGGGUGUUGGUCAUCUUGUUGUUGUUCUCUGCGAACUGUCCGUCGGCGUUGCUCGCGGCACGUUUUCUCAUUCACUGUUCCUCUCCCUCCCUCUUUCCUUCCCUCUCUUUCGCUCUGUUCUAGACACGAUUGGCGGAAAGAGUAAACGGCCCUCCCCUUCGGAAAAAAAAAGAAACUCCGAAAAGCAGCAGUCAUCCCUCCCUUGUGGCUGCCGAAACGCCGAUACAGGCGUGGCAGUGGCUAAGGAGACCGCGUGUGUGUCUCUGUGUGUGCAUUCUGAACGCCAUUCAGGAUUGCACUAUCUUGUGUGCUGGAGCUUGGCGUGUAGGCUCCCGCGUGGGCGACGGGGUAUACAACGCGCAUUUUGGUUUGCUAUCCUCGUUCCGGCGAAAGAACAAGCUGACCCGUGUCUCGUGGGCACCGCUGCGCACUACCGGCUAAAGAAGUGGUGGUGAAAAAGAACGUCGUACAAUGCACGGGAGGUGCGGUAGAGAAGCUAACGUCACUCUCUAUACCCAGUACGCGAUCGCGCUUUUCUUCUCUGCGUGGGGAAGGACUCAGGUGCACGUAACUUGCACAGACGACUUCGAACCCGCCCCGGAAAGCACCGCCGUCCUGUAAGCAUCGUUACACAGGAACGAAUCCUACGUGGAAGAGACGCCGUUCGGGUGUUGAACGUGCCCACGAACACACAACCAUAGUGCUUCUUAGAUUUGCUAGCGCAAGCGAGAAUCGGAAAAAUAGCAGGACAGUAUCUGUUUUCGUUCUGUGUGUUUGUGUACAAAUCCGAGUUUCCGCACGGUCUCGAAUAGGCCCUCGCUUCCGGAGGCAUUCCUUCGCCUCUAUUUCCGGACGUGGUAUACGCCUUUUCCCUCUUGUGUGAUUCCUUCACCUACUCGUGACACUUUUUUGAGCGUGUGUGUGUGUGUUGUUUUGGCAUUGCUGCCUUCGCUUAAUUCGCCGCCUCUUAUACGGACCUGUCAGUCAUACAUACACACACACACACACCUUUUUUUUUGCGUGUCUCUCUUUGUUUUUGUUGUUGUCUUGUUCUCUCUGCUUCUCUCUUGGAGUCUUGUUGGUCUGUGUGCGUAGUUGAGCGUGCGCUCAGGUAACGGUUUUCGCUGCCUCCUCCCUUUCCCCUCCCCUCCUUGUUGGGACCAAAACACGCACACAUACGCUUAUUGCUGAUUUUUCCGCGUGAUACCCCUCCUCUUUCCCCUUCCCUCUCCCCUCCCCUUUUUAGAGAUUUCUCACGCAGUCGGAUCGAUCUUCGUUGCCUUGAAAACGAAUAUCCCCAUCAAGUUACACGGCAUUCGUUUUGUGGUGUGCGUGGAGGUGUGUGUUUUUCCCCAUUAUUAUUCGAAGGUGACGGAGCAAUCAGGGUUCUCUCGCGCGGUGAGCAGGAACGUCGCACAGGAGCUUUCGUGCGUGUGGUUCUUAUUCUUUCUGACGUGCUCUCACCUCACACCCCUCCGCUUCUUCCACUCGCUUCGCCGCGAGCACCUGCUCGCUUUCUCUCCCUUCUUCCCGUGCCGUUCGUGUGUGUCUGUCUGUGUGUGCGCGCGCAUCCGCACAAUUUGAGGCUCUCUUCCUUUUCUUUUGUUUUCAUUUUCGUGCUUCUCUUUCUGCACCUGCGAGGACGGAUUAGCAGAGAUACUUGCGAGCGUGCACACAUACAAAGACGCGAGUAGACACCCAGUCUACCCCCUCACGUUUAUGCAAGUCGAUAUCGGCAACAACACAGUCCUGCAGAACUUUAGCAGCAUCGUCUCCAGUGCGGAGAUUCGUCAGCUCAACGAUCGUCUUCAGCAGGCCUACGCCGGUGCAGCGCCCGCUCAAGCUACCGCAGCAGGUCACCAGGAAGGCGGUGAACCUGGCACCGUGCUGUCCCAGCGACGCGUGUACCACAACGCUGUUGAAGGAGCAGCCGGUGCGCCGAGUAGCCACCCGAACGUUUCCCGCUUGCGUCGGCGCUCGUCUCUGAACCUGAGUCGCUCGUCCGCGGGAUCGCGCCACUCGUAUCACCACUACCAGGGUAGGCAACACGGCAGCACUCCACGCAGCCGCUCCGGGCACUCCCAGUCGCCUGAGCAGCCGGCUCUUUGGCCACAGCAGGCGACCCUCGGUGUAUCGCAUAUCGCUGCAGUUACGCGGAUAACCACCCCGGCGAACAGCAGCACGGCGGUUAACAACGCGUCUGUGCCAAGCCGAGCUAACAUUUCCGGCAUACCUCGGAUCCUCAACAGCCACGUUGUACAGCCGCCGCAUCUACAGCAGCUGCUCGCACCGCCGCAACAGACACCAGCGGUCUUCGGUGGUAUAGGGCCGUCGCCGGCGCCUAUGGCUACCGUCACUUCGACCCCGCAUCGGCAACAGGGCUGGCCCGACGCGGCGCAGGACAAGGGCGGGGCAGCCUCUCCGGCCGGAGCUGUAGACGGCGCGCCCGUGUGCGCCGGAGACAACCGUAGCAAAGGGAUGCUCGGCAAAGAGGGCGACGGGAACUGCCGUCGCGAUGAGGGCAGCGGCCCGCACGGCGGCGGCGAUGCCCGCAGCCGCAACUGCAACGAUAAACCCGCCGCAGCCGCCAGCCCGAAACUAGCACACACGAAGAUUCAGGUAGGCAUGCGCUUGCGUCGAUGGAUCAUCAUUAAUCGCAUCGGCGCCGGAUCCUUCGGUGAAACGUUCACUGCCAUGGAGGUGGACGGCCCGGCCGAGGAGGAGGAUAGUCUCACCGUAGCCUCGGAGAACAUGAAGCUACUGGAAAAUUUGCCCCCGGUAGAGGAGCGUAACGAGGUGUGCAUUAAAGUGGAGCAAGAAAACAAAAAUGUACUGCGACUAGAGGCGCUGGCCUUGAAAAAGGUGCAGCCGUGCCCCCAAGUCGUGCGCUAUCUUGGUAGCGGUUGCACUAAUGGAAUGAACUACCUGGUGAUGGAAAAGUUAGGCUCGAACCUAGCCGAGCUGCGCCGUCGAAGCCAGCAUGGCACUUUCAACAUCUACACGACACUCAAAGCCGGCGUCUCGUGCCUGACAGCGAUCCGCGGAGUUCACGACCUUGGGCUGGUACACCGCGACAUCAAGCCGUCGAACUUUGUUACCGGGCUGCCCGGCACUCCGGACCACACCACGUGCUACUUGAUCGACUUCGGCCUCGCCCGCCGCUUCCGCCGCUCGAACGGCGAAAUCCGCCCGCCGCGCGAAAACGCCGGGUUUCGUGGAACGAGCCGGUACGCCUCUGUCGCCUCGCAUCACCACCAGGAGCUGGGCCGCGUAGAUGACUUGUGGAGCUUGCUUUUCAUGCUCGUAGAGUUUGCCACCGGCACCCUACCGUGGCGCAAGUACAAGGAGAAGGAUGACAUUGGGCGCUGCAAGGAGGAGUCCAUCAGCCCGCAUCUCGUGCGCAACCUGCCACGAGAGUUUCAGCCCUUCUUAGCUCAUUUGCAGACCCUCCGCUACGAAGACGAACCGGACUACGACCUGCUCCUCACGCUCAUGCAUCGCGCGCUGGAGCGUCGCGGCUAUCCGCCCAAUAAGCCGGUAGAGUGGGAGAUCGACUCGUCAUUGGCGGACUCUUGCAUAGACGCCGACGGUGUCCCUGUCGUGAACGCGGGUGCUGGAGCGGUGCAGGGCUCGGCGGCGCACCUUCGCGAUGUCGGCCCGGCACCUGACGCCGCGGGAAAUGGGCAUUCGAUCGACGGCAACGCUAGUGGCAGACCGCUGCAACCGCCACCUCGUAGGGCAGCUCCACUGCCUGGCGCUGUAGAAAUGGGUUCACGAGAGCUCCUGCACAUGCCCCUGCACCCCGAUGCGGCCCAACCGAACAGCGUUGCCAGCCGCGUAGGCAGCGGCAAUGGCGCUGCAGGAAAUGGCGCCACCGCGAGUGGAUACCCGGCAGACGCUCUGCAUCCGCAUAACAGCGGCACACUACGUGUGAGCGAGGUUGACAUUGGCGGCUCUGGCGCUUGUCAGGAUAGUAUGCACGGCAACCCGCCGGUCGGGGUAGAUGUUUCCGUGCAGAACCGUGGACCGCGCCCGCAAGGCGAUUCUGUCGACAUUCCUCUCACUACAGCGUGUCUUGCCGCCGAAGGCAGCGAGUCACCCCGCGCACAAGCCAGUUCGGGCGAGUACGACCACAACGAAUACUCCCUGCGUGAAAACGGUAGCGGUGCGUAUAGUCCCCCCAUGGCGCCUGUUUCCUAUUUUAAUGCCGCGGUAGCUUCUGGCGCUGAUCCGCCCGGCAGCUCCCCAGCAGCUGGGUCGCUGGCGAACUCAGCGCUGGAACCAAACAACGCUACUCACUGGAGAGAGACGGCCGCCGAGCGCAACGGGUUAAAGCGCCGAUCGGGUCAACAGCAGCGCGAAAACGAAUGCGACAUUCCAGACAUCACGAAGAGGGGGGCAGGCCGAUGGCAUCAGCACAUGGUCGGCCCCACCGCCGAUCUUGACGCCUCCGUGGCAGCAGACGAGCAAGGGGAGGCGCACUACGGUAAGGAUGGUAAGGCGUCAUCUAAGAAGAAGUUACAGUGCGAAUGCGUUGUAAUGUAGUCUGAGCCGCGUCGCUGAUUUCAAAGCAGCGCUGGCCGCUAUCCCGUACCCUCAGCCUUGUGUUUGGGCGGAUGCUUGCGGGACAUUAAUAUCCCAUAGGAGCUUCUAGGUUGUUGUGCGGUCGAGAUUGCAUGUUUAUGUGUACGUGUGUCGACGCCGGCCCCCAUCGCCGUUAUUAUUUGGUGUUGUUGCUGGUAGGCGCCUUUUGCAUAGAGCAAAGCCGGAAAUGGUGCGUUUCCGGCAGAGGAGCAGGAAAGCCGAACAGGAACUGGGACAAUGACGAAAGGGUGUGCAUACGAGUCGGCCAGCGAAGCAGACCAGAAAUAAAAGGACGCUGAGAGGAGGAGACACGAGCGGCCUUUGUGCGAAUCUCUCUCCUUCAGAACCUCUGUGUGCGCGCAUGUAGGCAUAUAUAUAUAUAUAUAUAUGUAUGUGUUUACGUUAGACAUUCGUCCCUGUCAUUCACAGCAAGCACCACCACUCGCACCACAUUUCUUUUCUUUAUUCAUGCGUAUAUGUGUGUGCGCUUGCGUGUGUGCUCUUCUUUUUUUGCUGUGCUGAGCUUGCUGGACUUGUUUGCCCCCCCCCCCCCCAGCGCCCUCUCGAAAGGCCGUUGAGGCGUACACCGGAAGAGGUGGAGGGAAUGGAAGACGAAAAAGGAGAAGAGACAUAUCAUAACAAAAAUAGAUGCGAUAAACAACAAUGUAGAGGGAAGAGAAUCGGAGAGGGGGGGCGAGUAAGAGGGCGGAAGGGUGGUCGGAGCAGUGUGCUUCGGUGAGGUGUCUGACCACGGUGUCUUUGGCGCCCGUUCACACCACCGUAUCUGUAUCCGCCCUUUUUUGCGUCGUUUGCUCUCUUUUCUCCGCCUUAGUACUUCUGCGUUUGUGUUCCUCGCUUUUUUCUCGUUUCUGAAUGCUGCUGUUUACUGGUAGCGUUUUCUUGUGUCUCCUUGCCACGGUUAUAGUGUUUUUCCAGUGCUCCUCUGCGUCGUGUGUAUGAGUGUGUGUGUGUGUGUCUACGUAAGUGUUUGUACGCACCGCGCCGCUGUCCUUUAUUCCUCUAUUGUCGCCAUGUUCUUGCCGUUUUUUAUUUUCGCUGCCAUGCGUUCUCUGUUUACUUCUUUGGUACCAUAGCAGCACGUACAUCUGUUGUUCGGAUAUGUUUUUUUGCGAGGCUUGCGUUUAGUUGGAUCGGCUGUUUAAACGGCCGCGCACCCGUGAGUGUGCGUGCAUGUAUUUGUGGUGGUACGAGUUUCGCGACGCUGAGCAGUCCUUGUAGCUGUAGAGCACUCCAGCCUUGGCCCCGUUAUGUGCAUGCGAUAGCGCAUUGAGGAGUGAAUGCAGCAAAUACACAUUUCUAUGUGCAAUUUUUUCUUCCGCUGUGGCGGACGUUGUCUGCUCUCUGCACAUUGUAGAAGCCUCACGUUGUGCAGUUUGCGGGUCUCGCUAGCCACAUGGGAGUAAGAGGGCGGGGGAGAGGAACAUGUGUCCUCUCGACACUGUUGCGCUUGACAAGCAAGUCCUGUCGAUCUUUGUAAAGGCACAGUUGGAAGGUGCGCGCGAGUGCGACGCACGUUCUGUUAGUGCUGCCAUGCCAGACCCAAUGGUGGCGGUGGGGAAUAGGGGGCCGAGGGCCAUGCGCUAUUUUUGUUGCAUUUCCAUGAACUUCUCUUUUUGUGCUCUGGUUGUUCCAGGCGGUAGCUGUAGCACUUUGCCCCCCCCCCCUCCUCCACUCUCCGCUGUCUACUCCGUCCGUCAUCUACCUCACGCCGCUUACCCUCCACUCAUCAUCGGCUUCUCUCGUCAUUUUUCGCUUGAGUCGGUUUCGGUUUCGUCUUUGCUGUGUUUUCUUAUUGCUUUUUUCCCUUCACCUUCUCCACUCCUUGUUUCCCUUCUUGACUCGCAUUUAGUGUUGGGCGUUGACUUCACCAUACGAAAAAUGCAGGCGUGCAUGUCGACUGCGUCUUGUGUGUGUGUGUGUGUUUGAGGUGUGUGAAGCCUUUUUCGAGCCUCUGUGCUGUCUCUGCUUUGCUGUUGUGGUGGCUGCCACCACCGUCACGACCAUCAAGGGCGCCUCUCCCUCUUGCUUCCCCCCCCCCAGCGCUUUGUGGUUCGCUUAAGUUAUUUGUGUACAUAUAUGCACACAUAUAUAUGUGUGCAUAUAUGUAUAUUCCCUGGCCGUUGUGCGUGUGCGUGUUUCCAUCAUGUCUUCUGUGUGUCUUCCUCUCUUCCUCUUCAGCUGUCUAUAAUCCUCUCAACAACAAC
rnacentral:misc_RNA from 1 species